GGAUGAUUUGAGCAGAAAAACAGAAGGAUUUUACACCUUUCUUGCCUGCUGCUGAGAUAAGUGUGCUGUCUCAGGAUGAGACUGAAGAGCACUAUGCCAGUAGUCAAAGGAUGGAAUUCAAGGCCCUAGCUGUGACACUAGGGAGGUGCCCACGCCUCCAAGGUGGACAGAGUAGCUGAUAUUUAACAUAAGCCACAGGAGCUCUGAGAAAUCAUAAAGUGCAUGAGAAAUCCUCUUCACGUGAUGGCUCUGAGACCUCAUGGGGGAGCUGAUGAGAACUCCGGACUGUGAAAUUAGAAAUUAUGUCUCCAGAGAGGAGAAAUGUGGGUUAAAAAUCAAUUAAAUAUCUUCUUGUUCUGUCUUAAUUAAAAAGAAACAACCAACAGAGGGUUUUGUACAGAAAGGAAACAAACUCUUCAGACCUAUUAGUGAUAGAAAACAAGCCUUUUUAUGUAACUAAUCAGGCUAAGGCAGAGGUCUCCAGUAAGAGUACAUUUUUACCAUGUUCUGUCUUUUAA